rnacentral:rRNA from 1 species
GACGAACGCUGGCGGCGUGCUUAACACAUGCAAGUCGAACGGAAAGGCCCUGCUUUUGUGGGGUGCUCGAGUGGCGAACGGGUGAGUAACACGUGAGUAACCUGCCCUUGACUUUGGGAUAACUUCAGGAAACUGGGGCUAAUACCGGAUAGGAGCUCCUGCUGCAUGGUGGGGGUUGGAAAGUUUCGGCGGUUGGGGCUGGACGCGCGGCUUAUCAGCUUGUUGGUGGGGUAGUGGCUUACCAAGGCUUUGACGGGUAGCCGGCCUGCGAGGGUGACCGGCCACAUUGGGACUGAGAUACGGCCCAGCCUCCUCCGGGAGGCAGCAGUGGGGAAUAUUGCACAAUGGGAGGAAGCCUGAUGCAGCAACGCCGCGUGCGGGAUGACGGCCUUCGGGUUGUAAACCGCUUUCGCCUGUGACGAAGCGUGAGUGACGGUAAUGGGUAAAGAAGCACCGGCUAACUACGUG